AGUGAACGCUGGCGGUAGGCCUAACACAUGCCAGUCGAACGGCAGCACAGUAAGAGCUUGCUCUUACGGGUGGCGAGUGGCGGACGGGUGCGGAAUACAUCGGAAUCUACUUUUUCGAGGGGGAUAACGUAGGGAAACUUACGCUAAUACCGCAUACGACCUACGGGUGAAAGCAUGGGAUCUUCGGACCUUGCGCGAUUGAAUGAGCCGAUGUCGGAUUAGCUAGUUGGCGGGGUAAAGGCCCACCAAGGCGACGAUCCGUAGCUGGUCUGAGAGGAUGAUCAGCCACACUGGAACUGAGACACGGUCCAGACUCCUACGGGAGGCAGCAGUGGGGAAUAUUGGACAAUGGGCGCAAGCCUGAUCCAGCCAUACCGCGUGGGUGAAGAAGGCCUUCGGGUUGUAAAGCCCUUUUGUUGGGAAAGAAAAGCAGCAGGUUAAUACCCCGCUGUUCUGACGUUACCCAAAGAAUAAGCACCGGCUAACUUCGUG
rnacentral:rRNA from 1 species